rnacentral:lncRNA from 1 species
UCUUCGGAGCGAUCAUCUCGAUAUUUCCAUCGAGACGGACAACCACAUUCUUGACACUCUCACUGUGCCACCCACCAUUCGCGAUGUUCCCCCUCUCCUUCUCGUGCUUACAGCAUCAAGAAGGGGAAACGACCGCAGACGCCUUCUGCUUCUCCUUCUUCGAGUUCUUCAGGGGGUUCCACCCUCAAAGUUUUCCAGCA